AUCGCUUCUCCACCUGUUGGCUAAGAUCAAGAAGAGUAUCUGUUCUUAUUAGUUCAACAUUUGAUAUGUCCUUUAUCUGAGGAGAAUAUAUUAAAUGGAUUUGGGGGGCUAAGAUAUGGAAUAGGAGUUUGUUCCAUCCAUUCCAUAUAUUGAUUUAGUGUUGCAGUCCUUCCAGGACCAGUGCACAGAAG